rnacentral:rRNA from 1 species
UGGGGAAUAUUGGACAAUGGGCGAAAGCCUGAUCCAGCCAUGCCGCGUGUGUGAAGAAGGUCUUCGGAUUGUAAAGCACUUUAAGUUGGGAGGAAGGGCAUUAACCUAAUACGUUAGUGUUUUGACGUUACCGACAGAAUAAGCACCGGCUAACUCUGUGUCAGCAGCCGCGGUAAUACAGAGGGUGCAAGCGUUAAUCGGAAUUACUGGGCGUAAAGCGCGCGUAGGUGGUUUGUUAAGUUGGAUGUGAAAUCCCCGGGCUCAACCUGGGAACUGCAUUCAAAACUGACUGACUAGAGUAUGGUAGAGGGUGGUGGAAUUUCCUGUGUAGCGGUGAAAGGCGUAGAUAUAGGAAGGAACACCAGUGGCGAAGGCGACCACCUGGACUAAUACUGACACUGAGGUGCGAAAGCGUGGGGAGCAAACA